rnacentral:rRNA from 1 species
AUUGAACGCUGGCGGAAUGCUCUACACAUGCAAGUCGAACGGCAGCACGGGGGCAACCCUGGUGGCGAGUGGCGAACGGGUGAGUAAUACAUCGGAACGUGCCCGGUCGUGGGGGAUAACGUAGCGAAAGUUACGCUAAUACCGCAUACGAUCUGAGGAUGAAAGCGGGGGACCGUCGGGCCUCGCGCGAUCGGAGCGGCCGAUGUCAGAUUAGGUAGUUGGUGGGGUAAAGGCCUACCAAGCCGACGAUGUGUAGGUGGUCUGAGAGGACGACCAGCCACACUGGGACUGAGACACGGCCCAGACUCCUACGGGAGGCAGCAGUGGGGAAUUUUGGACAAUGGGCGCAAGCCUGAUCCAGCCAUUCCGCGUGCAGGACGAAGGCCUUCGGGUUGUAAACUGCUUUUGUAUGGAACGAAAAGGCUCUGGCUAAUACCUGGGGCUCAUGACGGUACCGUAAGAAUAAGCACCGGCUAACUACGUG